GUCCACGCCGUAAACGAUGAAUACUAGGUGUCGGGUGGCAAAGCCAUUCGGUGCCGCAGCUAACGCAAUAAGUAUUCCACCUGGGGAGUACGUUCGCAAGAAUGAAACUCAAAGGAAUUGACGGGGACCCCGCACAAGCGGUGGAGCAUGUGGUUUAAUUCGACGCAACGCGAAGAACCUUACCAAGUCUUGACAUCCUUUUGACCGGUCGGUAAUGCGACCUUCUCUUCGGAGCAAAAGUGACAGGUGGUGCAUGGUUGUCGU
rnacentral:rRNA from 1 species